CGCAAUUUAAUUGGGGUUUCUUUUGUUGAUUCCACAACCAUCAAAACUUACACAACACCCUCAACAUAGCAACAUCACCAACAUAUAUACCACUACCAAACACCAAUAACAUACUACAAACUACUCACUCAAAACAUCAUACCUAGUACUUUUUUCCUACAAUUUCAAUCACAAACAACAUCUUACCAGCUAAAAGACAUAAAUUUAUGACAUAGUCUUCACUUCUUAGGAUUUAAAUCAACCUUCUCUUAAGCAAGUUGGAUCUCCGAGGGAAAACAAGAGUUUGAAUCAACCACAAAUGGAAAUUAGGUCUCUUAGUGGGAUGGUUGCAAAGAAAUUGAGAAAAUUAUCAAGGGCAGUUGCCAAUUCCAACGAGGAAUCCUCUAUUUCUGAGCAAAUCCCAAGUGGAGAAAUAGGUUUAAAAACCCCAAGUGAACUCCAUUCAAGGAAUAGGAGAACUGUUCUAAUGGAAAGCCCAAGGAAGAUUCAUCAACUUCAG
rnacentral:lncRNA from 1 species